AACGAACGCUGGCGGCAUGCCUAACACACGCAAGUCGAACGAGACCUUCGGGUCUAGUGGCGCACGGGUGCGUAACGCGUGGGAACCUGCCCUUAGGUUCGGAAUAACUCCCCGAAAGGGGUGCUAAUACCGGAUAAUGUCUUCGGACCAAAGAUUUAUCGCCUUUGGAUGGGCCCGCGUUGGAUUAGCUAGUUGGUAGGGUAAAAGCCUACCAAGGCGACGAUCCAUAGCUGGUCUGUGAGGAUGAUCAGCCACACUGGGACUGAGACACGGCCCAGACUCCUACGGGAGGCAGCAGUGGGGAAUAUUGGACAAUGGGCGAAAGCCUGAUCCAGCAAUGCCGCGUAAGUGAUGAAGGCCUUAGGGUUGUAAAGCUCUUUUACCCGGGAUGAUAAUGACAGUACCGGGAGAAUAAGCUCCGGCUAACUCCGUG
rnacentral:rRNA from 1 species